rnacentral:rRNA from 1 species
UACGGAGGGUGCAAGCGUUAUCCGGAUUCACUGGGGUUUAAAGGGUGCGUAGGUGGGUAUGUAAGUCAGUGGUGAAAUCCCCGAGCUUAACUUGGGAACUGCCAUUGAUACUAUAUAUCUUGAAUGCGUAGGAGGUAAGCGAAUAUGUCAUGUAGCGGUGAAAAUGCUUAGAUAUGACAUAGAACACCAAUUGCGAAGGCAGCUUACUAUGCGGUUAUUGACACUGAGGCACGAAAGCGUGGGGAUCAAACAGG